rnacentral:rRNA from 1 species
GACGAACGCUGGCGGCGCGCUUAACACAUGCAAGUCGAGCGAGAACCAGGACUUCGGUCCUGGGGACAGCGGCGAACGGGUGAGUAACACGUGGAUAACCUGCCCUCGGCACCGGGAUAGCCCGGGGAAACCCGGAUUAAUACCGGAUGGCCCUUCCGGCUCACGAGCCGGUCGGAAAAGGUAGCUUCGGCCUCAGGCCGAGGAUGGGUCCGCGGCGGAUUAGCUUGUUGGUGGGGUAACGGCCUACCAAGGCUCCGAUCCGUAGCUGGUCUGAGAGGACGAUCAGCCACACUGGGACUGAGACACGGCCCAGACUCCUACGGGAGGCAGCAGUGGGGAAUCUUGCGCAAUGGGCGAAAGCCUGACGCAGCGACGCCGCGUGAGGGAGGAAGGCCUUCGGGUUGUAAACCUCUUUCAGGAGGGACGAAGCUACUCGGGUGAAUAGCCCAGAGGGUGACGGUACCUCCAGAAGAAGCCCCGGCUAACUACGUGCCAGCCGCCGCCGUAAAAC